GUCCCGCUCAUCAAACUCCUGCGCGUCACAUCAGUGGAUUGUGGGAUUCUCACAGCUCCUCACGCUGGUUAAACCUCCCGAGCUUCCGACGCUAAAGCAGCUCAAGAUUAAAACAUUGACGGCUCCAGCCACAGCGAGCAUCAGUCUGAACCUUCAUCUCAGCUUCAUCUCAGCUGCAUUUCUUACAUGAAAUGGGACCAAAAGUUCCUCUGGACGCUGAAAUGUCCCAGUUUACACCAAACACUUAGUGCAGAAAGAACAAAAAUGUGACUGUUUGCUGCAGGUGUUUCAAUCAGUAGGAGCAGAUAGAGGGCGCUCUUGGAAAAAGGAUCAAAACAAAAACACAGUGGAUUCCAGGCAACUCCAAAAAAGUAGAAAAAGUAAAAAAUCACACGAGGAAAAAUAUAGUUAACAGGCCUUUAUUAGAAAGGCUGUCCUGGUUACAGACAGUGGGUUAUAUGUGAAUUAUAAUGGGUUAUAUGUGAAUUAUAAUGGGUUAUAUGUGAAUUAUA